rnacentral:rRNA from 1 species
AUACGGAUGGUGCGAGCGUUGUUCGGAAUUACUGGGCGUAAAGGGCGCGUAGGCGGCGAUGUAAGUCAAAUGUGAAAGUCCUCGGCUUAACCGGGGAAGUGCAUCUGAAACUGCAUUACUUGAGUAUGGGAGAGGAAAGUGGAAUUCCCGGUGUAGAGGUGAAAUUCGUAGAGAUCGGGAGGAAUACCGGUGGCGAAGGCGACUUUCUGGACCAAUACUGACGCUGAGGCGCGAAAGCGUGGGGAGCAAACAGGAUUAGAAACCCUAGUAGUCC